GUACAUGCCUACAACAUAGCGUUAAUGCAUAAGAUCCCAUUAGAACUCUGCAGUUAAGUGUGCUCGGGCUAGAGUAGUACUGGGAUAGGUGACCGCCCAAGAAGUCCUAGUAUUUUAUAUU
rnacentral:rRNA from 1 species